CUCAAGAAACUCUCUUCCUCUCAUGCCUACGGGUCCAACACCAAAAAGAAAGAAAACUCUCUCAAGCUCUCUACCUCUCAUACUUUUGGGUCCAGCCAUUAGGAAAGGGAAAUCCUUUCAUGCAAGAGUGAUUUAUUUCUAUUUCCCCUCAAGAACCAUAAAUUUGGUGUUACUAGCCCUAGGCCUAAGCUCCUUCGACUGUAGGCUCUCGGUUCCUCUGUUUUCAGGUUAUGUCCUCUGGUGAUCUGAACUCGACUAGUAGGGGUUAAUUACUAGCUUUCCAUGGAAAAAUGUUAUCUGUUUGGCCAUUUAAAGUAAAGGAAAUGGGGCUGCCCGUAACUCUAAUCUGAAUAAAGCCUUCUCCCCAAUGUGUACAGACGGCAGGGAGGAAUAAAAUCUUGAGGGGAUGUGCCAUCAGGCCUCCCAAAGAGGACAAUAUCAUGCACACGGGGUACCCAAAUGUGAUGAGGCAUUCUCUGUAUAGACUUAUCAGAUAUGGACUAAACAAUAUGUUAUGAACAGCUAUAUUAUGUUAUUGAUCAUGAGAGAAUGAUUUUGUUUAAAUGCAU